rnacentral:rRNA from 1 species
CAGCAGCCACGGGAAUACGUAGGUGGCGAGCGUUGUCCGGAAUCAUUGGGCGUAAAGGGAGCGCAGGCGGGCAUGUAAGUCUUUCUUAAAAGUUCGGGGCUCAACCCCGUGAUGGGAAAGAAACUACAUGUCUUGAGUACAGGAGAGGAAAGCGGAAUUCCCAGUGUAGGGGUGAAAUGCGUAGAUAUUGGGAGGAACACCAGUGGCGAAGGCGGCUUUCUGGACUGCAACUGACGCUGAGGCUCGAAAGCCAGGGGAGCGAACGGGAUUAGAUACCCCUGUAGUCCCUGUCUCUUAUACC